AACGCCCCGAAUUUAGAAUUAAUUAAUAAUUUUCGUAGGAGUUGUUGUGUUGAUUAUUGUUAAUUAUUUAAAUGUGUGUGAUGAGUAAUUAAAUAAUUGAUGAAUAAAUGAGUAAAAUGAUAAGUUGAAAAUAAAAGUGAAGAAAGAGUAGACGGGGUUGUAGAAAUUAUAUAAUAGGUGGAGAGGGGGUGUGAGUAAGAAAGAAUAGUAGAAAUAAUGAAAUUGGGCCUAGUAGAAAGAAAACCCAUGAAUAGUUAAAAGCAGAAUUUUUCCUUCUCGUGGAGGAAACCACUAGACUAAGUUAGAAACAAAGUUGAAAUCUAUCCACUUUUUUUUAUAAAAAAAAGAGAAGAGAAAAACAGAAUAGAGGAGCAAGGGAGAAAGAGAGAUUGACGCACGAGAGGGAGAAGAGAAAGAAGAGGAAAACAAAACUCACAACCAAAGAUUAAUUGCUAUUCCAAAUUUUCAGGUAGGCGAUGAGUCAUAGUUGCCGAGUUCGGGGAGCUUGUCCCUUGCUGUUUCAGUAAUUGAGUCGCUCUGAUAGGAUGUCUUGGGGGAUUCACGUAUAUAUUCAAUUAGUAUUUCUUCAAAAUGACUUGAACAGUGUCAAUUGGUUUUUGGAAUGAUUCUAUUGCUCUCAAUAAUUUUUUACUUCAAAUUUUAGAACUUAUGUUUAUUGGUUUUAA